CCCCCAGUACCACUCUGAAAGUCAAAUUGACCCCAUGGAUGCAAUCACGUAAAGGAGACAUUGUGUUUGUGUCUGUGUGGGUUUUGGAGAUUAUUAUUCUGCUGUCAUUGUUAGGAGGUUUUCACAUCUAUGCCAGAAUCCAAAGAAAACAGGCCAGCAGAGCAACAGAAAGUAAGGAAGAGGAGGUGGAGGAGGGUCUGUACACCAACCGGGAACAAGAAGACAGAAGGCAUCAUUAGAGGAGAUAAACCAUCAGACUCUCCAACUCACACAACC